rnacentral:lncRNA from 1 species
CGGAGCGGCUGGGUAGGAAGCAAUUGUUCUCAAACUUCACUAGCCCCGUCGGCGCGGACGCUUGUCGAGAAUGCAGAUUCCUGGGUACUGCCAGAUACGGUUGGUGAUCUUGUAGGGCUGGAGUGGAAGCCAUGAAUCUGCAUUUUCAUCAUUUCUGGCCCUCUGCCCGGGCUGGGGUGAUUCACGGGGAUUCGUAGUGGCCCCAAAGGAGCACGCAGAACCUCGGCUGCUGUGCAUUUAUCACCUCUUUUGUUCCCGGAGGCCGCACCCCAGAAUUGAGCAUACCACAAAAAAGUUCUCAUUUUGUGUCCUCCCAUCCCAUUCUCCUCACUAACCAAAGGCUAGGAAUUAUCUGUGAAUGUAGGACCACUGGAUUUGCAGUCUUCAUCUGACACUGUGGAGAGUUUCUAGGAAUGAAACAGAUAUAUGGCCUUGGGUCCCCUUUUUUUUUCUUUUUUUUUUUUUUAAUAGAGACGAGCAUCUCACUAUGUUGCCUAGGGUAGUCUUGAACUCCUGGCCUCAAGCAAUCCCCACCCGACUCCGCCUCUCGAAGUGAUGGGAUUACAGGCAUAAACCACCACGCCUGGCCAGAAGGUGCUUUAACACCAAAUCUGAAAAUUGUUCAGAAGAGAAACAUUGAGCAUGAACACCAUCUGUGCGAGUCAUUUACUUAUUGCCCCUCACCUCUAAAUCUACCUUCUGUACUCUUCUUCCCUGUAAUGAUGGGGCUAGUUGUCCUCAAACUGUUUCUCAGACUUCUUUUUAAGCUUGCUUCCUGUUCAGUUCUGCCAAUAGGGGUCACUAGAGAGAGACUGGGAGGCAGAAGGAGAGAAUAUGCUUCCUGUUUUUUCUGUUCUUGUUAAUGUUGCUUACAGGACCAGCAAUGCUUCUUCACCUAGAGACACUUCUCCCAGCAGUGGCAGUGCCACUUCAGCUUCUUUCAGCACUACUGGAAUCAGCCUCAGUGAUUCCCCCUGUACCCGCUCAGAGAUUAUCCACAGCAGCCAGAUGGUUCUACCUUCCACAAAGAUUGUGGUUGCAAUUCUGGGCUUCUAAGUUCUGGUUACUUCAUAUUUUUCCUUUUGUUCCUCCAGCCCUAGAGGUGGUAGCUGCUUUCUGAAGUUAUUAUUUCUAGAUGACUUUUGGUUUUUCAGCCUUUGUAUUUUGCUUUUCAGCCCUCUAAUGCCUGUAUAACCAAUUUCCCUGUAAUAAAUAAAUUUCCUCCAUUG